rnacentral:rRNA from 1 species
UGGUUAGUCAGCACGAGCGCACCCUUUCCUUAGUUGCCAGCACAUUAUGGUGGGGACUCUAAGGAUACUGCCUGGGAUAACCAGGAGAAAGGUGGGGAUGAUGUCAAGUCAGUAUGUCCCUUAUGUCCAGGGCUACACACGUGUUACAAUGGCUAGUACAAAGGGUUGCCAACCCGCGAGGGGGAGCCAAUCUCAAAAAACUAGCCUCAGUUCAGAUUAGAGUCUGCAACUCGACUCUAUGAAGCAGGAAUCGCUAGUAAUCGUGGAUCAGCAUGCCACGGUGAAUACGUUCCCGGGUCUUGUACACACCGCCCGUCACGCCAUGGAAGUCGGCAGUACCCAAAGCAGGUUGCUUAACCUUCGGGAGAGAGCUUGUUAAGGUAAGGCUGGUAACUGGGGCGAAGUCGUAACAAGGUAGCCGUACCGGAAGGUGCGGCUGGAUCACCUCCUUUCU